rnacentral:rRNA from 1 species
AUGAACGCUGGCGGCGUGCCUAAUACAUGCAAGUCGCGCGAACGGACGAGAAGCUUGCUUCUCUGAUGUUAGCAGCGGACGGGUGAGUAACACGUGGAUAACCUACCUAUAAGACUGGGAUAACUUCGGGAAACCGUAGCUAAUACCGGAUAAUAUUUUGAACCGCAUGGUUCAAAAGUGAAAGACGGUCUUGCUGUCACUUAUAGAUGGAUCCGCGCUGCAUUAGCUAGUUGGUAAGGUAACGGCUUACCAAGGCAACGAUGCAUAGCCGACCUGAGAGGGUGAUCGGCCACACUGGAACUGAGACACGGUCCAGACUCCUACGGGAGGCAGCAGUAGGGAAUCUUCCGCAAUGGGCGAAAGCCUGACGGAGCAACGCCGCGUGAGUGAUGAAGGUCUUCGGAUCGUAAAACUCUGUUAUUAGGGAAGAACAUAUGUGUAAGUAACUGUGCACAUCUUGACGGUACCUAAUCAGAAAGCCACGGCUAACUACGUG